rnacentral:snRNA from 1 species
GUGCUCACUUUGACAGCACACGUACUAAAAUUGGAAUGAUACACAGAUGAUUAGCAUUGGGGCCCCUGCACAAGGAUGACACACAAAUUUGUGAAGCAUUCCAUGAUUUA